UACGAAGGGGGCUAGCGUUGCUCGGAAUCACUGGGCGUAAAGCGCACGUAGGCGGCUUUUUAAGUCAGGGGUGAAAUCCUGGAGCUCAACUCCAGAACUGCCUUUGAUACUGGCGAUCUUGAGUCCGGGAGAGGUGAGUGGAACUGCGAGUGUAGAGGUGAAAUUCGUAGAUAUUCGCGAGAACACCAGUGGCGAAGGCGGCUCACUGGCCCGGUACUGACGCUGAGGUGCGAAAGCGUGGGGAGCAAACAGG
rnacentral:rRNA from 1 species